rnacentral:rRNA from 1 species
AUUGAACGCUGGCGGAAUGCUUUACACAUGCAAGUCGAGCGGCAGCGCGGGGCAACCUGGCGGCGAGCGGCGAACGGGUGAGUAAUGCAUCGGAACAUGUCCAUGUCGUGGGGGAUAGCCCGGCGAAAGCCGGAUUAAUACCGCAUACGCUCGAGAGAGGAAAGCCGGGGGACCGCAAGGCCUGGCGCGAUUGGGUCGGCCGAUGUCGGAUUAGCUAGUUGGUGGGGUAAAGGCCUACCAAGGCGACGAUCCGUAGCAGGUCUGAGAGGAUGAUCCGCCACACUGGGACUGAGACACGGCCCAGACUCCUACGGGAGGCAGCAGUGGGGAAUUUUGGACAAUGGGCGGAAGCCUGAUCCAGCCAUGCCGCGUGAGUGAAGAAGGCC